UACAGAGGGGGCAAGCGUUGUUCGGAAUUACUGGGCGUAAAGGGCGCGUAGGCGGCCCGCUAAGUCGAACGUGAAAUCCCCGGGCUUAACCCGGGAACUGCGUCCGAUACUGGCAGGCUUGAAUCCGGGAGAGGGAUGUGGGAUUCCAGGUGUAGCGGUGAAAUGCGUAGAUAUCUGGAGGAACACCGGUGGCGAAGGCGGCAUCCUGGACCGGUAUUGACGCUGAGGCGCGAAAGCGUGGGGAGCAAACAGG
rnacentral:rRNA from 1 species